rnacentral:tRNA from 1 species
CAAAAUGUAGCUUACUCAAAGCACUUCGCUUACACCAAAGAGACGUCUAAAUCUAGACCAUUUUGA